rnacentral:lncRNA from 12 species
CAGCCUUGCAUGGCUCUGAGCCAGGCUCUCUGGGGGAGGCGAAGCAGUUCAGCCUCCCACAGCCCUAAGGAGAGGAAAGGCAGGUGCAAACAGCUAAAAAUUAGUUUGGGGAGAUCCAGGCCAUGCUGUGCCAAGCCCUAUGGCAUUCACAGUGGUUAUCAAAGCCGGUGUCGCACCCCAGGAGAACUGCUGAUGGAGGAUGGAGAGGAGAGACAGCUCCUGCUGAGAAAAAUGCUGCAGCGUGAGCCCAGCCCUCCACCAGACACCGGAGCAGCCGCCCGGAGGCCAAACUUCCUGGGAAGUCUGGCUUCCUUGGGCUGGCUGCUCACGCCGUCGCUGGGUUUGUUUUGUUCUGGGCUUGAGAUACUGGUGGGAUGAAAAAAAUGCUUUGUAAGUGUUGA